rnacentral:rRNA from 1 species
AUUGAACGCUGGCGGUAGGCUUAACACAUGCAAGUCGUGCGAGAAAGUAUCUUCGGAUAUGAGUAGAGCGGCGGACGGGUGAGUAACGCGUAGGAAUCUACCUAGUAGAAGGGGAUAGCCCGGGGAAACCCGGAUUAAUACCGUAUACCUCCUUCGGGAGAAAGAAGGCCUCUCUUUGAAGCUUUCGCUAUUAGAUGAGCCUGCGUAAGAUUAGCUUGUUGGUGAGGUAAAGGCUCACCAAGGCUACGAUCUUUAGCUGGUCUGAGAGGACGAUCAGCCACAUUGGGACUGAGACACGGCCCAGACUCCUACGGGAGGCAGCAGUGGGGAAUAUUGGACAAUGGGCGCAAGCCUGAUCCAGCCAUACCGCGUGUGUGAAGAAGGCCUUCGGGUUGUAAAGCACUUUAAGCAGGGAGAAAAAGUUAUAAGUUAAUACCUUAUAACCGUGAUGUUACCUGCAGAAUAAGCACCGGCUAAUUCCGUGCCAGCAGCCGCGGUAAUACGGAAGGUGCAAGCGUUAAUCGGAAUUACUGGGCGUAAAGCGCGCGUAGGUGGUUUGUUAAGUUGGAUGUGAAAGCCCUGGGCUCAACCUAGGAACUGCAUCCAAAACUAACUCACUAGAGUACGAUAGAGGGAGGUAGAAUUCAUAGUGUAGCGGUGGAAUGCGUAGAUAUUAUGAAGAAUACCAGUGGCGAAGGCGGCCUCCUGGAUCUGUACUGACACUGAGGUGCGAAAGCGUGGGUAGCGAACAGGAUUAGAUACCCUGGUAGUCCACGCCGUAAACGAUGACAACUAGCUGUUGGGAGACAAUGUCUCUCAGUGGCGCAGCUAACGUUUUAAGUUGUCCGCCUGGGGGAGUACGGCCGCAAGGCUAAAACUCAAAUGAAUUGACGGGGACCCGCACAAGCGGUGGAGCAUGUGGGUUUAAUUCGAUGCAACGCGAAAAACCUUACCUACUC